rnacentral:rRNA from 1 species
GAAUUUUAUAUAAAUUUAAUGUAAAGUUUAAUAUAAAAAUUAUUAAAUUUAUAUUUUAUUGGGAGGAUAAUUAAAUUAAAUGAACUUUAAAAGUAAGAAUCCAUUAAUUUAUGAAUUAUAAAUUAUAGAAUGAUAAAAAUUUUAAAUAGAAUUAAUUACCUUAGGGAUAACAGCGUUAUAUUUUUAGAGAGAUCUUAUUGAUAAAAAUGAUUGC